rfam:Methylothermaceae bacteria B42 Contig28, whole genome shotgun sequence.
CGCGCCUUCCGGCAACGGCGGGCGUGAUGGAACAGAAGUCAGCAGAGGCCAUAGUAGCCCCGUCCUCUGGGAAAGAGGGCGGCGCGAAGGGC